rnacentral:rRNA from 1 species
AUUGAACGCUGGCGGCAGGCCUAACACAUGCAAGUCGAGCGAGCGGCGGACGGGGGAGUAAUGUAUGGGGACUGCCCGAUAGCGGGGGAUAACUACUGGAAACGGCAUCUAAUACCGCACACUAUCGGCUACCCCAUAUGGGAUUAGCUAGUAGGUGAGGUAAUGGCUCACCUAGGCGACGAUCCCUAGCUGGUCUGAGAGGAUGAUCCGCCACACUGGGACUGAGACACGGCCCAGACUCCUACGGAGGCAGCAGUGGGGAAUCUUGCACAAUGGGCGCAAGCCUGAGGCAGCCAUGCCGCGUGUAUGAAGAAGGCCUUAGGGUUGUAAAGUACUUUCAGUCGGGAGGCGUUACCGACAGAAGAAGCACCGGCUAACUCCGUGCCAGCAGCCGCGGUAAUUC